AACUGCAGGACACAUGAACAUCGACAUUUUGAACGCAUAUUGCGGUCCAUGCAAAAGUUUAUAAACUUGUUUUUUAAACUGCAUGGACCACGUAUGGUUGAGUAUCGUAA
rnacentral:rRNA from 1 species